rnacentral:rRNA from 1 species
UCCCUUAGUAACUGCGAGUGAAGAGGGAAAAGCUCAAAUUUAAAAUCUGGCAGUGUUUCACUGUCCGAGUUGUAACCUAGAGAAGUGUAACCCGCGCUGGACCGUGUACAAGUCUCCUGGAAUGGAGCAUCACAGAGGGUGAGAAUCCCGUCUUUGACAUGGACUGCCAGUGCAUUGUGGUUGUGCUCUCAACGAGUCGAGUUGUUUGGGAAUGCAGCUCUAAAUGGGUGGUAAAUUCCAUCUAAAGCUAAAUAUUGGCGAGAGACCGAUAGCGAACAAGUACCGUGAGGGAAAGAUGAAAAGAACUUUGGAAAGAGAGUUAAACAGUAUGUGAAAUUGUUGAAAGGGAAACGUUUGAAGUCAGUCAUGUUGGCUGGGGAUCAGCCUGACUUUAUGUUUGGCGUACUUCCUGGUUGACGGGCCAACAUCAGUUUUGACUGCCAGAAAAAGGCCAAGGGAAUGUGGCACCUUUGGGUGUGUUAUAGCUCUUGGUCGUAUGUGGUGAUUGGGACUGAGGAAAGCAGUGCGCCGAAAGGCAGGGUUUCGACCACNUUCGCACUGAGGAUGUUGGCAUAAUGGCUUUAAGCGACCCGUCUUGAAACACGGACCAAGGAGUCUAACAUGCAUGCGAGUGUUUGGGUGGAAAACCCUUACGCGUAAUGAAAGUGAAAGUUGAGAU